ACGCUGGCGGCGUGCCUAAUACAUGCAAGUCGAACGCCUUGUGGUUUUAAUGAAUAGCGUGCUUGCACAAUAUGAUUUAAAACAAUGCAAGGAGUGGCGAACGGGUGAGUAACACGUGGGAAACCUACCUCUUAGCAGGGGAUAACAUUUGGAAACAGAUGCUAAUACCGUAUAACACUAAAAACCGCAUGGUUUUUAUUUGAAAGAUGGUUCUGCUAUCACUAAGAGAUGGUCCCGCGGUGCAUUAGUUAGAUGGUGAGGUAAUGGCUCACCAUGACGAUGAUGCAUAGCCGAGUUGAGAGACUGAUCGGCCACAAUGGGACUGAGACACGGCCCAUACUCCUACGGGAGGCAGCAGUAGGGAAUCUUCCACAAUGGGCGCAAGCCUGAUGGAGCAACGCCGCGUGUGUGAUGAAGGGUUUCGGCUCGUAAAGCACUGUUGUAAGAGAAGAAUGUACUUGAGAGUAACUGUUCAAGUAGUGACGGUAUCUUACCAGAAAGGGACGGCUAAAUACGUGCCAGCAGCCGCGGUAAUACGUAUGUCCCAAGCGUUAUCCGGAUUUAUUGGGCGUAAAGCGAGCGCAGACGGUUAUUUAAGUCUGAAGUGAAAGCCCUCGGCUCAACUGAGGAAUUGCUUUGGAAACUGGAUGACUUGAGUGCAGUAGAGGAAAGUGGAACUCCAUGUGUAGCGGAGAAAUGCGUAGAUAUAUGGAAGAACACCAGUGGCGAAGGCGGCUUUCUGGACUGUAACUGACGUUGAGGCUCGAAAGUGUGGGGAGCAAAC
rnacentral:rRNA from 1 species